ACACCCUCACAAGGCGGGAAAUUUUUACAAUGAACACCGGCGUCGUUUUUCUUCGACCAGAUCUCUCUUGCGGCCCUUUUUUUUCAUUAGCGUCCCAGCUGAUUUACCUUUGCUUGCAACCGAAAAAAGGAAAAAAGAAAAGCAAAGAACCUCAAAAUCACCAUGGAAGAAGAACGGCCAGACCCAAAUCUCCCAGCCAAAAACCUGGACCUCGAUGCCGACUUACAGAAAAAGCACCAAGCCAUGCUCGAUCGCCUCUCCAAUCGCCACCACGCUCGUUUAGACAACUCACUCGCUCGCCGAUCCGACUCAACCAACUCCUCCGAGGCCACGUCCUCUUUCCUCUCCCGCUUCUCCGAAUCCAAGCAAUCCAUCGACUCCCAACUCGCCGACUCCCGUCUCAUUGCUCAAUCCGAUCCCUCUCGCCUCAAAACUCAUUUCGCCAAUAUCUCUUCCUCCAUCUCGGACCUCGAAAAACUCGUUGCGGAGAACUCAUACUUCCUUCCUUCUUAUGAGGUUCGCACUUCUCUCAAAACCAUCUCCGAUUUGAAGCAAAAUCUCGAGAUUUUAAACUCCGAAUUGAUCCCCAAAAGGAAAUUCUCCUUCAAAAACAAAGCCACAACAAAAAAAGAACUCCCCAAAGAACCUGAACCCGUAAAAUCUGACGCCGUUUCAGUGACCAAUUUCAAAAUCCCCAAUUCCCCAGGGUUUAGAAAUAAAACAAACGUAACCCUAAUUCAGAAGUUCAAGGGAACGGAAGUUGGGGAAUUUACGCUAUCCGAUCUGGAUUCCUGCGAAGUGAGAUUAAUUGGCUGCUGCAAUGCGGUUUUUAUGAACAGAUUGAAGGAUUGCAAGGUUUAUUUGGGGCCGGUAAUCGGGUCGAUUUUGAUAGAGGAAGUGGAACGGUGUGUCUUUGUAUUGGCUUCGCAUCAGAUAAGGAUUCAUUUGGCGAAAGGGAGUGAUUUCUAUUUGAGAGUGAGGAGUAGGCCUAUAAUUGAAGACAGCAAUGUUGUGAGAUUUGCCCCGUAUUGUUUGGAUUAUGAAGGGAUUGAGAUGGACUUAGAGAAGGCAGGGUUGAGUGAGGAGACAGGAAAUUGGGGGAAUGUGGAUGAUUUUAAGUGGUUGAGAGCUGUGCAGUCGCCGAAUUGGUGCGUUUUACCGGUGAAUGAGAGGGUUGGGAAGGUUCGGGUUGGCGAUUUGGAGAGCGGAAAUGAAGUGUGCAAUAUAAAUAGCAGGAAUUUGGAGUUAGCAAUUAAAGGUAGAUGAGAUGGAUGAGGCAGUCAUAAACAUGAUGAUGGCUUUGGGUGUGGUUGGAUUGAAGUGUACCAGUUUCUUUGGCUGUACAAAUGAUUUCUGGAGCUUGCUAUUGGAAUCUUAAGCAUCUGCUUGAAUGAAUGGGAUGUUUACUUAAGGAGUACUCUGAUUGAGAAUCUAUCACUUCCUUAAAUGAGCUUUGCCUAUGAUUUCUGCAUUCAUUAAUCAUGCAUGGAAUCUGUGUUAAUGGCGCUUGUAAGGUAAGCUAGAGUUGCUCCUAAAACACAUACUCCGAAGGCAAAGGUGACAGAAGUUUAAAAGAUAAAAAAAGAAGAAUUCUGCCUCUGUAAGUGCAUCUACUCAUCCAGUGAAGGAAAGGAAAAAUCCACAUAUGAUUUCUCUGCCUUCACCAUUUUCGGAGUCUCAUAUCUUUGCUACUUUGAAUUUCCCCCUCUAAAUCUCAGUUUAAUUGCAGAGCUCAGGUAAUCUUUUUCUUUUCUUUCUACAUCAUCCCUUUUUUGUUACUUUGCCUCUUUAGAUUCUCUGAGCAGUUCCAGGGCUUUGUCUUUUAUUUUUCAUGAUCAGUUCCAGGGAUUUGAAGCAUGGGCGCAAUGCGCUGCACUUUGCAAAUGAGGAAAGGCAUGUAUCUAAACGAUCACAAUAAGUUGUUUAUCAAGGGCCUUUUUUGUACAAAAAUCGAAGUGUAUUUACCCCAUAUAACUUAAUGAGAUUGAAAUAGUUUAAAAUGGUUUCCAGUAGCACUUCAUUAAGCUGCUUUAUCAGUUCUUUUACUUCUUUGACGCCAUUUGUUUGAUGACUUAGUUGUCUAUUUGGCCUCCGGAGUUGAAACUUUGCCUACAAAGUUAUGACUCCCUAGUAAAUGCUCGCUAGUAAUUAGUAACUGUUGGUUUCAGGUUUAUGCUCUGGCUUCCGAGAAAGGGAACUAUUUCAACAUUUGGAUCUACAUUUCUCUGCCAAUUAAUGGACCCGUGCUCAAGAAAAGUCCCAUUCGUGGAAUUUGAAGUUGUGAAGCAUGAAGAGUUAUACAGGAGCCAGAUCAGCAGCCGGUUGCUUGCAGAGUGACCUUACGUGUUGAGGCUGGGUGAUGUCAGCAUUUGCUAAAGUGGACCUAGUGGGUGCUCUUAAAUUUAGCUUCACCGAGUGUCUGGGUGAAGGGUUUGAAAACGAGCGUACUGCCUAGGUAGAGUCAGAGACAUCUUCGGUUUCUACAGGGGGAUGGGGCUGGACUUAGAUAAAUGUUUUUACAGAGGAGGAUUUUCAACAGGAAAAGAUGGCCCUCAAGUUCGUCCAAGUCCCAAGCAAGUGAUUAGAAACAAAAAUAUUUCAAAUUCAAACCCCAUCUUUGUUUUCGUGAUUUGUCCCUGUAGUCAAUUGAGGUUUUGGCUUCGAGAGCCGCCGUUGCCCAUCGAUGGAUUGUACGUAUUACGGGCCUUUUUCCCAUGUAUAUCGUUUUAAUUGGUAGAUUGUGCAAACGGCGUUUCGAAAUCGACAGGGACAUUGACAAAUUGCCUUCCAACUAUUUGUCUAUUUCUCCUUUUGAGAUCCAAAUUCUAAAGAUUGGGCACUUUUCUGCUGUUCCGUGGAUCAGGUUUCUCAUACAUUUAGUUUCAAUUUUUUCCAUCUCAUUGUCUCUACGCUUUAGCAAAUUAAGGUGGUGUGGAACUAUGCUUUAUGAGGGUUGUUGGGCUGUGAAUAGUUGAAAAGGGUGAAGUUGGUGUGCCAUGAACGCUCGCAAACACAAUUCACGUGUACUGGACGUAAUAGAAGUAUUUCUUACUAACUGUUUCUGGGAUGAAGGUGCACUGCAAUAAUUUCAUUUCCAGUUUGUUUUAUUCGCUUUGACCAACAGAUCAUCAGGAUCAUUGAUUAGCAGCUCAUGUUAGGAAAUCAUAUAUCAGAAGAUGCUGAAUGGAACCUCCAUGGCAGGUUGCAACAAAUUAGGUCGAUAAAGCUAUUGGAAGCCCAGGUGUGUUUUCUGAGUCAACCUUCAUGUUCAUACUCAACAUCAAUCAUUUCAUUUGGUCGUAUACUAGAAUUAUAAUAAACUAAGGUGAUGAAAGAGCAGUAGAAAGAAAGAUUGCUGUCGCUAAUGCUUUGAAAAUAAAUCCAUUUUAAAGAACUUUCCUGUUGUCCAUCUCUAGUGAGUGUUUUGAUCUAUAUUUAAUGUUUGCUUAAAACCAGCAUUAUAUAAUGUUGUUUUCUUUUUGCAUGGAGAUGGAAAGACCCGAAUACAUCUACGUGGCAAAGGAAGUGUAGAAAGUCCGAGUUUAGAUAUAUUGGGUAGAAACUUAACUGGGGAAGCAAAUCAGUUGUUUAGCUGACAUUACAAAUAUGAUUUUUUCUAAUGAUAAAAUAAUAAGCUGUUUAGGUGACAUCUCUUACUUUCUAAAUUCUUUAUUUAAACCUGCUUCCUUUUGAUGUGAGGGUCUGGUCCACCCGACAAGGAACCCUGGUUGAAGAAGUAAUCUCUCUGUUUCCCUCUAAAAAAUCUUCUGUUAGUUUUUCUUGAAGAAGGUGUUAAUAUGU